AAAUAUUAAGCACAUUAUUUUGUUUUUUUACUUUUAAAUAUGUUUUUACCGUUAGAAUUAGCUAGUAAAAAAUUAGUUAAAUAUAAGUUAAAUAUUUAACUCUAUUUAGUUUUUAAUAUUUUUACCCCUUUAUAUUAUACUGUUAUAAUUUUUAGAGUGAUAAAUUUGUAAUGGUAAAAUUGAAAAUAUAAAUAGUUUUCUAACGAUUCUCUAAUGAUAACAAACUAGAGGAACAUAUUUAAAAAUAUUAGAAUUUUUGUAUGAACAAUAUAUGAAAGUUGAACUUUGUAGAAAUAUAUUUGCUAUUCAGUAUGUUUGCAGGGACCUAUAUGAAAUUAACCUUAUUAAAAAUAUUCUUUUAACGUUCUAGUUUUUUCAGAUAUAUCCCAAGAGUUAAAUUUUAUUAGUGAACUAUUAGCAACAGGCAUUAUAUCUGUAAAAUUACUAUUUUGUCCUUUUAAAUAUAUUCUUCUCCCAUCACCAAUAUUUUUUAUUUUAUUUGCCCUUAAGUUAUGUAAGUUAGGGGCCAAAAAAGUAUUUUGAUUUUUUAUCUUUUCAAAUAUACCUUUCCACUAUCACCAGUUUUUUUUUUUAUUUGCCUUUAAAUUAAAGACAAAAGAGGUAUUUUAAUUUUUUUACUUAUAGAAAUUUAACCCACGUUUAACUCGAGAAAACUCAAGGGGUAUUAAUAGCUGGGGUAUUUUUUGAAUAACAGAACAAUAUACGAGAGGUAUAUUAGAAAUAAAAAAGUAAAGGUAUAUUAGAUAUUUCAGAAAUUUUUAGAGGCAUAUUAGAUAUUAUCUCUAAUUUAAAAUAAAUGAUAA
rnacentral:lncRNA from 1 species